UACGAAGGGGGCUAGCGUUGUUCGGAUUUACUGGGCGUAAAGCGCGCGUAGGCGGGUCACUAAGUCAGGGGUGAAAUCCCGAGGCUUAACCUCGGAACUGCCUUUGAUACUGGUGACCCGGAGAUCGGGAGAGGUUGGUGGAAUUCCGAGUGUAGAGGUGAAAUUCGUAGAUAUUCGGAGGAACACCAGAAGCGAAGGCGGCCAACUGGCCCGAUACUGACGCUGAGGCGCGAAAGCGUGGGGAGCAAACAGG
rnacentral:rRNA from 1 species